GGGAGGGGUCGUUCUCGGCCGCGCUGGACUCUGUGGACCGCGGCGCGUCGACUCCUCUCGUUCCUGCUUCUGGCGUCUCGCCCGAGAAACCGCCGCCCGACGAAGGCCACUGAGGUCCAGUCCUGCGGCUUCUUCUGAGUGUUGGCCCAUCUCGCCUCUGGGUCCGCUUUCGGGGGGGGGGGGGGGUUUGCGGAGAGCGUCAGGUCGGGGUCCGGGUCCGACCUUCGGCCGGUGGACCCACGCGUUGGAGAGACAGUUCUUUUCUCGUCGAAUGGCUUGGCGUCGUUUUCAGACGUCGGUCCUCCGAAAAUAAGGGUUUAUUCACGGACGCACGAACCCACCCCUUGAUCUGUGGGUCCCCCUCGUCUGCCCGGUGCCGGCCCCAGCUGUCCGAUGACCACAGCUUUGGCGUCCGCGUCGAGAUCAGGGACCGUGCCGUCACGGUCAGCGUGGUGCAGACUGAGGAUGUCAGACAAGCGAGGCUCUCUCUGGCUCUAAGCCCAGCCUCGGGCCAAGGCCACAGAAGUGCCACCGGCCGCCUCGGGUGACGGCAGAGUGCUCCUCGUCCUUCCUGUGGGGGGCAUGGGGAGGACGUCUCUGUCAACCUAGAGGCUGUGCGCCACACCCAGAGCUAUGCGUGACUGUGCCGCCGGCUCAGCCGCUGCACCCAGAGCUGCCGUGGGGUCACGCGUGCUGUGGCCCCCACCGUCUGCCACAACCCAGGGGCAGGCUUGCCAAGGGAGCAGGAGGAGAAUGGGAAGCAGCAUCCCUGUGCCCUGAAUGUUCGAAG